GUAAAACGCUCGCGGUGGAGAUUUUUCUUCUAAAAAAGGAAUGAACAGUGGCACGGAUGGCAGAGAACAAGGCGCUAACACUUUUGAGAUGCCAGGUCCGCCCUAUCGUGGCGUUUGGUGCCGCCCUGGUCCACAACUUGAAGGCAAGGAGAGGAAGGUGGUGCGGAUGGUGGAAGAAAAGGAACAGCAAACAAGGCGCCCCUGGACAACAUGCUCUAUGUCCGGUCGGUUGGUGACCUGAAGGGUUUCCGGACCCAAAAAAUCAAUCGACGUCCAGGUGAGCAUAGUCUCCGAAGCCAUCGGACAUCUGGUGUCCAGCAAGCUGAUCCCGCCAUCGGCUGCGGCGCCGAGCUGCAGUUAAUCACCACGCAGGAUGCUGAUUGCUUCAGCAUCCUGCGUGGUGAGGAACGCACUAGCUCCAACCAAGCUCUCUUGAAAGUUUUGUGGAAACGUGGUCGCUCGAUCGAACCUUUCGUCAGUCUAGUUGUCCGCAUGUGGCUGCUCAGCCCUGUCGAAAGUGUGGUUGAGUCCAUGGGCAGCGUCUUCAAGGAGGUUUUCUUCAUAAAUCGGCAGCUGAGGCAUGACAAUGCCGCGAAAGAGCUCACGAUUCGAUGGAAUGGUUCUGAGCUUGAUGGUGCCGAACAUCUCAUAAGAGCUGUUCAGAAGCGUCACCAAUUUGACUUCGUGAGGCGGUCUGUCAACGUGAAGCACCUGCUCACGGGAACGGUGAUCGCCCGCCAUAGAGCAUACCAAUCAUAUCGCUCGUGCCUUUUCAAGUAGUUGAGGAGAAAAGGAGUGUUGACAUUGUGAGUCAGCCCUUGGAUCAAAUUUUGCAUGCGCGAUUAACGUCCUCGAGCUCACGGCGAGUGCCGAAGUACUGUGGACAAGGUUUCGUUGUGUGCUGAACUGUACGCGGCGUAUUUGGCAUUUUGUUCUGACACCAUGUCGGCGUGAUUUUGUACAUAUCCAAGAUGAAUGCAGUGUAAAUACAAAAAAUC